AGCAGCCGCGGUAAUUCCAGCUCCAAUAGCGUAUAUUAAAGUUGUUGCAGUUAAAAAGCUCGUAGUUGAAUUUCGGGAUUAAUAUGCUGGUCGUGCCAUUGGUACGUACUAGUAUUAUUGAUUUCUCCCUUUUGAUGAAUCAUGAUGUCAUUAAUUUGAUGUCAUGGGGAAUCAGGACUGCUACUUUGAAAAAAUUAGAGUGUUUAAAGCAGGCUCGCGCUUGAAUACAUUAGCAUGGAAUAAUGAAAUAGGACGUUUGAUUCUAUUUUGUUGGUUUCUAGGAUUGACGUAAUGAUUAAUAGGGAUAGUUGGGGGCAUUAGUAUUCAAUUGUCAGGGGUGAAAUUCUUGGAUUUAUUGAAGACUAACUACUGCGAAAGCAUUUGCCAAGGAUGUUUUCAUUAAUCAAGAACGAAAGUUAGGGGAUCGAAGACGAUCAGAUACCGUCGUAGUCUUAACCAUAAACUAUGCCGACUAGGAUCGGAUAGAA
rnacentral:rRNA from 1 species